rnacentral:rRNA from 1 species
UACGAGGGGGGCUAGCGUUGCUCGGAAUCACUGGGCGUAAAGGGUGCGUAGGCGGGUUUUUAAGUCAGGGGUGAAAUCCUGGAGCUCAACUCCAGAACUGCCUUUGAUACUGAAGAUCUUGAGUUCGGGAGAGGUGAGUGGAACUGCGAGUGUAGAGGUGAAAUUCGUAGAUAUUCGCAAGAACACCAGUGGCGAAGGCGGCUCACUGGCCCGAUAACUGACGCUGAGGCACGAAAGCGUGGGGAGCAACAGGG